AGGGGUAUAGCUCAGUGGUAGAAUCAUGCUUGGUAUGCAUGAGGUCCUGGGUUCAACUCCCAGUGCCUCCU
rnacentral:tRNA from 1 species